rnacentral:rRNA from 1 species
AUUGAACGCUGGCGGAAUGCUUUACACAUGCAAGUCGAACGGCAGCACGGACUUCGGUCUGGUGGCGAGUGGCGAACGGGUGAGUAAUACAUCGGAACGUGCCCAAUCGUGGGGGAUAACGUAGCGAAAGCUACGCUAAUACCGCAUACGAUCUAAGGAUGAAAGCGGGGGAUCGCAAGACCUCGCGCGAUUGGAGCGGCCGAUGGCAGAUUAGGUAGUUGGUAGGGUAAAGGCCUACCAAGCCGACGAUCUGUAGCUGGUCUGAGAGGAUGGUCAGCCACACUGGGACUGAGACACGGCCCAGGCUCCUACGGGAGGCAGCAGUGGGGAAUUUUGGACAAUGGACGCAAGUCUGAUCCAGCCAUUCCGCGUGCAGGAUGAAGGCCCUCGGGUUGUAAACUGCUUUUGUACAGAACGAAAAGGCUCUGGUUAAUACCUAGGGCUCAUGACGGUAUUGUAAGAAUAAGCACCGGCUAACUACGUGCCAGCAGCCGCCGUAA